GGUCGGUUAGCUCAGUUGGUUAGAGCGUGGUGCUAAUAUCUGUGGUAUUGUCCUGAUGAUAUUGACACGCCAAGGUCGCGGGUUCGACCCCCGUACUGACCA
rnacentral:tRNA from 1 species